rnacentral:rRNA from 1 species
CAGGAAGCAGCUUGCUGCUUCGCUGACGAGUGGCGGACGGGUGAGUAAUGUCUGGGAAACUGCCUGAUGGAGGGGGAUAACUACUGGAAACGGUAGCUAAUACCGCAUAACGUCGCAAGACCAAAGAGGGGGACCUUCGGGCCUCUUGCCAUCGGAUGUGCCCAGAUGGGAUUAGCUAGUAGGUGGGGUAACGGCUCACCUAGGCGACGAUCCCUAGCUGGUCUGAGAGGAUGACCAGCCACACUGGAACUGAGACACGGUCCAGACUCCUACGGGAGGCAGCAGUGGGGAAUAUUGCACAAUGGGCGCAAGCCUGAUGCAGCCAUGCCGCGUGUAUGAAGAAGGCCUUCGGGUUGUAAAGUACUUUCAGCGGGGAGGAAGGGAGUAAAGUUAAUACCUUUGCUCAUUGACGUUACCCGCAGAAGUAGCACCGGCUAACUCCGUGCCAGCAGCCGCGGUAAUACGGAGGGUGCAAGCGUUAAUCGGAAUUACUGGGCGUAAAGCGCACGCAGGCGGCUUGUUAAGUCAGAUGUGAAAUCCCCGGGCUCAACCUGGGAACUGCAUCUGACACUGGCAAGCUUGAGUCUCGUAGAGGGGGGUAGAAUUCCAGGUGUAGCGGUGAAAUGCGUAGAGAUCUGGAGGAAUACCGGUGGCGAAGGCGGCCACCUGGACGAAGACUGACG